CGACGAACUGCGUAAUUGGAACUAAGUCGUAACAAGGUAACCGUAGGUGAACCUGCAGAAGGAUCA
rnacentral:rRNA from 1 species